rnacentral:lncRNA from 1 species
GGGGUAUCACAGAAUCCUGGAGACAGCAGCAUCACUCAGAUCCUGAGGGGUUUCCGCUUCAAGCAUGACCCUUUUGCCUGUGGGAUGAGCUCCAGCAUGGGGUGAGGUACAGAAGAGAGACUUGAAGAGCGUGCCUUGGGACUCAAGCGCCAAACCUGUACCCUAGCGAGUGUCCUACUCCGCAUCCGUAAUGGAAGGAAAUGCACAUCUUACUCCAGAGGCACAACAGGGGGACAUCCCAUGCGGCUACUCCUGCCCAGCGUGGUGGGGCAGCAGAAGCUCCAGAGCCCAGACUUGCAGGUUUGCUGUUU